UAAUACGUAGGGGGCGAGCGUUGUCCGGAAUGACUGGGCGUAAAGGGCGUGUAGGCGGCCGAUUAAGUCCGGAGUGAAAGUCCUGCUUUCAAGGUGGGAAUUGCUUUGGAAACUGGUUGGCUUGAGUGCGGAAGAGGUAAGUGGAAUUCCCAGUGUAGCGGUGAAAUGCGUAGAGAUUGGGAGGAACACCAGUGGCGAAGGCGACUUACUGGGCCGUAACUGACGCUGAGGCGCGAAAGCGUGGGGAGCGAACAGGAUUAGAUACCCUGGUAGUCCACGCGGUAAACGAUGAAUGCUAGGUGUAGGGGGUAUCGACCCCUCCUGUGCCGGAGUAAACACAAUAAGCAUUCCGCCUGGGGAGUACGGCCGCAAGGUUGAAACUCAAAUGAAUUGACGG
rnacentral:rRNA from 1 species